GGCCGGUGCGGGUGGAACCCAGCGCGGGCGCAGAGCGUCUCUGGCGUGGGCAUUCGGUGCAGCGAGUCCGCGGGAAUCUUGGAUGCGCGGAGGUCCCCGGACCGCGGUGACGGACGGGGCUGCGAUCGUGGCCAUGCGUGUGCUAAGCUUAGGUCUGAGCACUGGCGGAUCCCAUGGGUGUGGCUCUGAGGAAAUUGACGCAGUGGACUGCUGCCGGACAUGGAACUGGAAUCCUCGAAAUCACCCCUCUAAAUGAAGCGAUAUUGAAAGAAAUUAUUGUUUGUGGAGAAUUUUAUCUAUAAACAUUCCCAAGAGGCAAAAUUUGUUUUUGUGGAACCACUUGAGUGGAACACAGGUUUGGCGCCCUCAGCAUUUGAAUCGGGUUAUGUUGUCAGUAAAGGGGAUUAGCUUCAAUGAAGACCAGCAAAAGGAAAAGGAUCAGCUUGGCAAAGCCCCCAAGAAGGAAGAAGCAGCUGCCCUCCACAAAGACAUUUCUGGUUCAGGCAAGAGGUCACUGGAGAAGAACCAAAUUAAUUUUUGGAGGAAUCAAAUGACCAAGAGAUGGGAACCAAGCUUAAACUGGAAGACCACUGUUAAUUACAAAGACAAAGGCUCAGCAAAAGAAAUCCAAGAGGACAAACACACAGGAAAACUUGAAAAACCAAGACCAUCUGUUUCACACGGAAGAGCACAAUUACUUCAGAAGAGUGCUGAAAAGAUUGA
rnacentral:lncRNA from 1 species